GGGUUUUUAAUUGUUUUUUUAUGUUAAGGGUUUUAUCACUUCUCAACCGCCCGGAGUAGGAUUAGUGUCGCUUUCGCGUAUAUACAAUUGAUUUUAUUUAUGAAUCGUAAACGCGUUAUCGGAGCACAUCCCAUCGUUGUUCAUUUAAUUAAGCUAAAGCUAUGACUCUCCGUUCUUGUCUAGUUGUCUGUCUUUUUUUUAUCAGGUGAUUCCUUGAAAGAAAUAAGCAAUUUAUUGUUUUUUUUGUCUACAAGCAAUUUAUGUUUUAAACAUGAACCAUGAGAAAACACAGAAAAAAACGAAAAAAAAAAAAAAAAAACAGACACACUUGUUGGAGGUGGGCUUAGCACCCCCAAUUAGCUAGGCCCAUCUUGGACAAUAAAACCCACAGACUAAGUCAACAGAAACCCAGCCAAAGUCAACGAGCCCGGUCAGCAUGGUCCCGCCAAAUCGUUAUCAUUGCGACGCCGAUCUACAGUGCGCGGAGCCGAGCAGAACCUGACACGUGUAGGGGCAGUUCGUCUACAGUGACCUAAGCACGUAAGUAGCUCGGCGAAAGACCAUCAUCACACGCCGCGGAGUGGUUCGGACGUGCGGCUCCAGACGCCAUACCCGCGAGAUGCGCUGAAGCUGCCACGUCGCCCCGAUUUGGAGUAAACUCGUCUCCCAACUCCCGCUAUAAAUACUCCUCGUAGAUCAUUUAUGAGGGGGACCGGGAAAAUUAUUACUCUCUCUCUCUACUUUAAUACACUUGUCUCUCAACCGAGCUCGCUGUAACGAAAUAAAAAGCACCGAACUGGAUCUACUCCAGACUUAGUUCGAAACAUCAGUUGUUAUCUCAUUGCAAACAUCCCUUACGUUUCCGAGCUGACACUUUCUUUUUCCCUUUAACUAAAUCACUCUUAUUAUACGAAAAUCUCACCCCGAAACCAUCUCUAAUCGUUC
rnacentral:lncRNA from 1 species